rnacentral:rRNA from 1 species
CAGUUCGGAUUGUAGUCUGCAACUCGACUACAUGAAGCUGGAAUCGCUAGUAAUCGCGGAUCAGAAUGCCGCGGUGAAUACGUUCCCGGGUCUUGUACACACCGCCCGUCACACCAUGGGAGUCGGGAAUGCCCGAAGCCAGCGACCCAAGCGAGAGCAGGGAGCUGUCGAAGGCAGGCCGGAUAACUGGGGUGAAGUCGUAACAAGGUACC